rnacentral:rRNA from 1 species
UACGAAGGGGGCUAGCGUUGCUCGGAAUCACUGGGCGUAAAGCGCACGUAGGCGGAUUUUUAAGUCAGGGGUGAAAUCCUGGAGCUCAACUCCAGAACUGCCUUUGAUACUGUCGACCUUGAGUCCGGGAGAGGUGAGUGGAACUGCGAGUGUAGAGGUGAAAUUCGUAGAUAUUCGCAAGAACACCAGUGGCGAAGGCGGCUCACUGGCCCGGUACUGACGCUGAGGUGCGAAAGCGUGGGGAGCAAACAGG